rnacentral:rRNA from 1 species
UACGGAGGGUGCAAGCGUUAUCCGGAUUUACUGGGUUUAAAGGGUGCGUAGGUGGGUAGGUAAGUCAGUGGUGAAAUCUUCGAGCUUAACUCGGAAACUGCCAUUGAUACUAUCUGUCUUGAAUACUUUGGAGGUAAGCGGAAUAUGUCAUGUAGCGGUGAAAUGCUUAGAUAUGACAUAGAACACCAAUUGCGAAGGCAGCUGGCUACACAAAUAUUGACACUGAGGCACGAAAGCGUGGGGAUCAAACAGG